rnacentral:rRNA from 1 species
UUAACAGGGGAAUAACCCGUGAAAAACGGACUAAUACUCCAUGACACAGGGGUCCCGCAUGGGAAUAUUUGUUAAAGAUUUAUCGGUUGAAGAUGGGCAUGCGUUCCAUUAGCUUGUUGGUGAGGUAACGGCUCACCAAGGCCACGAUGGAUAGGGGAACUGAGAGGUUUAUCCCCCACACUGGAACUGAGACACGGUCCAGACUCCUACGGGAGGCAGCAGUGAGGAAUAUUGGUCAAUGGAGGCAACUCUGAACCAGCCAAGUCGCGUGAAGGAUGAAGGUCUUAUGGAUUGUAAACUUCUUUUGCAAGGGAAUAAAGUGGGGGACGUGUCCUCCCUACUCCGCAUGUACCCUUGCGAAUAAGGAUCGGCUAGCUCCGUGCCAGCCGCAGC